AAACCGAGGCUCAGGGUGGUCAGUGGGCAGCGCAGAGCGGGCUCCCUGCUUGGCCGUGGGGCGCACCUGGGGCCCCCCGUGGGGCCCUCCUCAGCUAGCGCUGGCUCCUCCAGCCUGGGGCCUGGGGCCCAUCCAAGUGGAAACCCAAUCGGCUGGGCCGCGCAGCCGUGUAACCAGGCCCUCCUCGGCCAGAAAUCUCAGCCGCCGGCUGGGCUGGCCAGGAACCUGAGCCGGCCCGGUGGCCUGAGCUUCCUGAUGUCUCCCCUACGCCCAGCCCGGUGCCAGCUGCUGGGGAGACAGGGGACCAGCCCCUCCCCUUGGCCUGCACUGUCCACUGGGACACAGUCCUGAACCCUGUUCCCUCCACUUCCCAGGUCCCCAGUGAGUAAUUUGGCCUGUCUGAGUCAUCCGGGCUGCUGAGACCCCUAGCACUGGGGGCACACAGGUGCACCUGAGGACACGUGUGCCCACACCUAUGACCCAGAACACGUAGUGGCCAGGCUGGGGGGUUGGUCCAGACCCAGGUAGGACUCAGCGAUAAACCCACUGUGCACAGGGCCAGGGGGCUGCAUUCUGUGCCCUCUUAGCUAAGCCAGAGCGAAGGGAGCCCCAGAGCAGCUGGGGACCCCAGGAAAGAACAUAGCACCCUCUUCCCACCGCGAGGCCCCACAGAACGGUCAGCUCAGCGUCCCGUCUUUUGGGGACCCUGGUCCUUCCUUUUCUGAUCCACUUUCAGGCUCUGUGUUAAGUAGGACUCAGUUCUAUGCCUCACCCCUGGAUGUCCUCGGAAAGGGACUCGGCACCCCUGAGCCCACCAGGGGCGGCAGGACCGAGUGUGGAUCGUGCCAUCUGAGUGGGCCUUCCUGACCUUUCAGGGGCUUGUCACAGACAGCCUGGAAGGUGACCAUCACCGGACUACUUACCAAAGGGGAAACCAAGGCCCAGAGAUGGGCAGAGUCUCACCCAGCAUCACACAGCACAUGGGGCAAGCCAGAGCCCAGGCCUGGAGGGCUGGGGCUUCGCAUUUUGUGUGCUGCCAGGAUGGCGAGGAGGAUGCUAAGUUUUCUGCCGGGAGUACCAGGCUGGUCUGUCCAGGAUGGGUACAGGACCCCGCUCCCCUCGGCCAAGAUGGCUCUAAAGCCGACCUGCUGAGACAGCCCAGAAGCCGUGCAAGACCUACUCCUUCUGGCAGGAAGCACACACCGUCCUGGUGGUCCAGGUCUGGCCAAACGCAGCCCUGCUGACGUGCAUCUGACGAGGAUGAGGGCCUGGUCCCUCAUCCCUCCCUGAGUCAGAAGGACUCCAGGUCCCUCAAAGGCCCUGGCUCAGGGGCCUCCUGUCUACCCCUAGUUGCUCCCUCUCUGUGGGUGGGGGGACCCUGGAGGGCAGGGCCCAGGCUGGGUCAUCCUGGUUCCCAAACACGUAGGCAGGGGACUGCAGAAGUGGGUGGAAAGUUCUGUGUCCAGCUCUGAAAUCUCCGCUCUGGGGACACAGCUGAGCAGGUUGUGUGUUGGCAGCCUCGGCAAACUCACUCAUCUACAUCGCAGAGCUGUAGGGAGGGGACAGCCAUGCCACAAGCCUUGUGGGAUCUCAGUUCCCCGACUAGGGAUUGAACCCAGGCCACGGCAAUGAAAGUGCGGGGUCCUAACCGCUAGACCACCAGGGAAUUCCCAUGAAGGGGUAUUUUAAACAAGAGGCCACCCAAAUCUCCACAUCGCCAGGAAAGAUAAAAAGAGUGUUGACAUCACAGGUCAUCCGGGAGUUGCAAAUGCAAACCACAGUGAGAUCCCACUUCACACGCAAGGACAGAUUCUCUAUGAUCCUGCGUUCAUCUGUGUGCAGAAGUCAGGCCAACGGUGCCCUUUGGGGAGGACCGACUGGAAAGGAUGUGAUGGAGGGACCUGCACAUGUCUCUUGAUCUGGGUGCUGGGUCAGACUUGAGCCUUGUUCUCCGGAAGUCUCCAGGGAAAACAACUGUUUGAUAUCCUGAACGUGUGAGGAGCUGAACUAGAGGAAGAGCAACGCAGCCCAAGGAUCAAGCAAGGCUUUCCACAGGAGGGGUCUUUUUGGCUGGGCUUUGAAGUAUGAAUAGGAGUUCACAAAGGAGACAAUUUAGAGGGUGCUUGACAGAAGGUAUUUUGGGAGAACUGCAAAUAUCUGAUGUGGCUGGGAACUUUGGAAAUUGAGUCUAUAGAAACCUUAAUGGGGAGAUCUGGGCUCAACACCAUUUUUGUUCUGGCCAACACUCGGUAGAGUACAUGGAGGCCCCAUCUGAGAAAGACCCCAGCUGGGUGAGCAGGACUGGGGUGGGCAUGGAGUUCGUGGAGCCCUCUUAGCACAGCUCAGUGGGGGCUGUGAGUCCUUACCCCUUGGAAGGAAUGUACUGGGCCUUGAAUUCAGGUCCCAUUGUACAGGUGGGGAGACUGAGGUAGGCAGGGUCAGAGCUAGGCUCGAAUAGCUGGGUUAAGCUUGGGUUCUGGAGCCCAUAAGGGCAAGAAACAGGCCCUCCUGGAAGUUGGACACCCUGCAGACGCAAGUUUACCGGGCCAGCCUCCGGGGUCCAGCGCUGGGGGUACCAUGACACUCACCAAAGAACUGGCUGGAAACAAGGAACUAGAACUCUGCAACAGGUGACAGCUGCAGGGCCUCUGUGCUGCCCUCCCCCAAAGCUGUCAGGUGCCCCUUCCUCUCCUAGUCAGCCUCAACCUUGGCCCAGAGAAGGAAAGCAAGAUGCAGGGCCACACAGCAAGAAUGUAGCCUUGGAACUCAGCCAGGAGGUGGGAAAGUGCUUCCCAGGUCUGGAGAUUUGCUGGCGCCCAGGAUGCCUGGGGUGGGUGUGUUCUCAGAGGACUGGCAUGAACUCAGGAGCUGGGACUUUGUCCGCAAUGGUAAUGGGGAGCUAUAGAGGGUGGGGGAGCGGGAGAGGGGAGGGCCAUGUCUGAUGUUUCAGCAGAUGGCUCUACAUUAUGAAAGGGCCCAGGAGGCUCCAAAACCAACUCUGUAGCCUCAGAUUUCAGAUUUCUGUCUGUCUCUGGCCAAGUAGAAGUUUGUAUUAGAAAUACUAGCGCUAUACAAAUAAUUAUAAUAAUAGUAACGAGAAUAAUAACCUAUGUGUCUGUGAUACUCUUUCAUUUUUCUGAUGUUCUAUAAUUUGAUUUUAUCCCAUGGCAACCCCAAGAGGCAGGAAGGGCAGCUUUCAUCAUGAUGUUUUAAGUUGUGGGUAGCAAAGCUGACAGUCGAGGUUGGGGACCUGCCUGGGGUAUGGGGAGCAUGCAGCUCACUCACGUUCAUGCAGGGCCACGCUUACCUGCAUGAGGUGAGGUGGUGAGCCCCCAGCUGGGACCGACUGUCGCUACAUGCCCAGAUGCCCUUCAUGAGCCUCUAGGAGGCAGGCCCUGUCCUGCUCACUCCCCAUUAACUGCCCCAUGAGGCAGGGGCCUUGAUGUUUCCCCAAACCCAGGUGGAGCCCAGAGGAGUGAGGGGACAUGCCCAAGGUCACACACAGCCAGGGAAAGAUGGCAAGAGGGGGCAUAUCUGCCAUCUCUGUGACUCUGGGCAAGUCACUUUACUUGCAAAGGGCCUCAGUUUUCUCACCUGUAAAAUGGGGGUGAGGACUUCCCUGGUGUCACAGUGGUUAAGA